rnacentral:rRNA from 1 species
GUAGUCAUAUGCUUGUCUCAAAGAUUAAGCCAUGCUUGUCUAAGUAUAAAUAGUAUACAGAGAAACUGCGAAUGGCUCAUUAAAACAGUUAUAGUUUAUUUGAUAAUGGAAAGCUACAUGGAUAACCGUGGUAAUUCUAGAGCUAAUACAUGCUGUCAAACCCGACUUUUUGGAAGGGUUGUAUUUAUUAGAUAUUAAGCCAAUAUUCCUUGUGUCUAUUGUGGUGAAUCAUAGUAACUGAUCGAAUCCCUUUUUGUGGAUAAAUUAUUCAAGUUUCUGCCCUAUCAGCUUUCGAUGGUAGUGUAUUGGACUACCAUGGCAGUCACGGGUAACGGAGAAUUAGGGUUCGGUUCCGGAGAGGGAGCCUGAGAAACGGCUACCACAUCUAAGGAAGGCAGCAGGCGCGUAAAUUACCCAAUCCUGAUUCAGGGAGGUAGUGACAAGAAAUAACAACCUGGGGGAAUUUAUUCCUUACGGGAUUGCAAUGAGAACAAUUUAAACGACUUAUCGAGGAACAAUUGGAGGGCAAGUCUGGUGCCAGCAGCCGCGGUAAUUCCAGCUCCAAUAGCGUAUAUUAAAGUUGUUGCAGUUAAAAAGCUCGUAGUUGAAUUUCUGCGUAUGCCUAGUUCUGGCUUUGGUCAAGCUAGUGUGUGCGCAUCCGCUUGCAAAUCCGGACCGGCGUUUACUCGUCGACCGGGGGAGUAGGCCCUUUACCUUGAAAAAAUUAGAGUGUUUCAGGCAGGCAAUGGCUCGAAUACAUUAGCAUGGAAUAAUAGAAUAGGACUUUUGUCUAUUUGGUUGGUUAUUAGACAUGAGUAAUGAUUAAAAGGGACAGUUGGGGGCAUUAGUAUUUAAUAGUCAGAGGUAAAAUUCUUGGAUUUAUUAAAGACUAACUUAUGCGAAAGCAUUUGCCAAGGAUGUUUUCAUUAAUCAAGAACGAAAGUUAGGGGAUCGAAGACGAUCAGAUACCGUCCUAGUCUUAACCAUAAACUAUGCCAACUGGAAAUUGGAAUAUAUGGAGAGAAAAUAUAUUCAGUAUUGUGCCUGAAAAGAGUAAGUGUGUGGGCUCCGGGGGGAGUAUAGUUGCAAGACUGAAACUUAAAGGAAUUGACGGAAGGGCACCACCAGGAGUGGAGCCUGCGGCUUAAUUUGACGCAACACGGGAAAUCUCACCAAGUCCAGACAUACGCAGGAUUGACAGAUUAAUUGCUCUUUCUCGAUUGUAUGGGUGGUGGUGCAUGGCCGUUCUUAGUUGGUGGAGUGAUUUGUCUGGUUAAUUCCGUUAACGAACGAGAUCCUAUUCUGCUAACUGUUGCAACAGUCUUUGGAAUGUUGGUACACUUAGAGGGACAUUGCGUGAGUAAUGCACGGAAGAGUCGGGCAAUAACAGGUCUGUGAUGCCCUUAGAUGUCCUGGGCUGCACGCGCGCUACAAUGGCACAUGCCCCAAUGUACCUAUGUCUGACAAGAACAUAGGAUCAAGCAACGAUGCCGUGCCGGGAAUAGAUGAUUGUAAUUUUUUAUCUUGAACGAGGAAUUCCUAGUAAGAACAGAUCAACAAUCUGUGCUGAUUACGUCCCUGCCCUUUGUACACACCGCCCGUCGCUCCUACCGAUUGAGUAAUCCGGUGAAUGGUGACGAUUGUUCGAACGCUCUUGAGCCUCGUGCAACAAGCAUCGUUAACCUCACUACUUAGAGGAAGGAGAAGUCGUAACAAGGUUUCCGUAGGUGAACCUGCGGAAGGAUCAUU